rnacentral:lncRNA from 12 species
CUGGGCCAGGGAAAGAAGAGUUGCUGACAUAUGAAACUCACUGGAAGACAUUAAAAGAAAUAAAACACAGAAGAUUGAUUCUUUAAUAGUGGAUUUCCAGGCAUUGUGAUUGGUUGAAAGUGAGACUUAGGAUCCAACAGCUUUCAAGCUGGCUGAGAGAGGCUGGAAUGCCCUUCCCAAAAUAUGCAUUGCUGCUGAGUGUUUUGGCUCCUGCUUCUACUCUGACCUCCUUGUUGAGUGAGUGAAUUUAUAUGCCUGCCACUCUAGUAUUAGAGCUUUUGUGUUAUAAAUCAUAGACAAGGGGCAUCUGGGUGGCUCAGUUGGUCAACAAUCCAAC